rnacentral:rRNA from 1 species
CAAAGGUAGCGUAAUCACUUGUCUUAUAAAUAAAGACCCGUAUGAAUGGCUAAAUGAAUAUUUAACUGUCUCCUUUAACUAAUCAGUGAAACUGAUCUUUCAGUACAAAAGCUGAAAUAUAAACAUAAGACGAGAAGACCCUGUGGAGCUUUAAAUUUUAACCAAAGUACACAUAUAAAGUAUAAUUAUGGUAAAAAAUUUUUAGUUGGGGCGACUUUGGAGUAAAACACAACCUCCAAGAAAAGGCACCGCCUAAACGAGGCCCACAAGCCAAAACCACACGACCCAGUACUACUGAUUAACGAACCAAGUUACCCCAGGGAUAACAGCGCCAUCUUCUUCAAGAGUUCAUAUCGACAAGAAGGUUUACGACCUCGAUGUUGGAUCAGGACACCCAAAUGGUGCAGCCGCUAUUAAAGGUUCGUUUGUUCAACGAUUAACAGU